rnacentral:rRNA from 1 species
UACGUAGGGGGCUAGCGUUAUCCGGAUUUACUGGGCGUAAAGGGUGCGUAGGCGGUCUUUUAAGUCAGGAGUGAAAGGCUACGGCUCAACCGUAGUAAGCUCUUGAAACUGGAGGACUUGAGUGCAGGAGAGGAGAGUGGAAUUCCUAGUGUAGCGGUGAAAUGCGUAGAUAUUAGGAGGAACACCGGUAGCGAAGGCGGCUCUCUGGACUGUAACUGACGCUGAGGCACGAAAGCGUGGGGAGCAAACAGG